UACGUAGGGAGCAAGCGUUGUCCGGAAUCAUUGGGCGUAAAGGGCGCGUAGGCGGCUUGGCAAGUGGAAGGUGAAAUCCCUCGGCUUAACCGAGGAACUGCCCUCCAAACUGCUUUGCUUGAGGCCGGGAGAGGUGAGUGGAAUUCCCAGUGUAGCGGUGAAAUGCGUAGAUAUUGGGAGGAACACCAGUGGCGAAGGCGGCUCACUGGACCGGUUCUGACGCUGAGGCGCGAAAGCGUGGGGAGCAAACGGG
rnacentral:rRNA from 1 species